GACAAAAAAUAACGAUACGGGACUCAUCCGAGGCCCCGUAAUCGGAAUGAGAACAUCCUAAAUCCUUUAACGAGGAUCUAUUGGAGGGCAAGUCUGGUGCCAGCAGCCGCGGUAAUUCCAGCUCCAAUAGCGUAUAUUAAAGUUGUUGCGGUUAAAAAGCUCGUAGUUGGUUCUGCGUGCCACGCUGUCGGUUCACCGCCUGUCGGUGCAACUGGCAUGUCGUGGCAUGUCCUGCCGGUGGCGGAUAGGCUUCGCGGCGCUCCCUACUCGAUACGUCUUGUAGGUCGUCGCGUCGUCCUUGUACGCCGACUCAAUCCUACCGCGGUGCUCUUUACCGAGUGUCGAGGUAGGCCGGCACAUUUUACUUUGAACAAAUUAGAGUGCUUAAAGCAGGCUCUUAAAUCAGCCUGAAUAGUGGUGCAUGGAAUAAUGGAACAGGACCUUGGUUCUAUUUUGUUGGUUUUAGGAAUCCAAGGUAAUGAUCAAUAAGGACAGGCGGGGGCAUUCGUAUUGCGACGUUAGAGGUGAAAUUCUUGGAUCGUCGCAAGACGCACUAGAGCGAAAGCAUUUGCCAAGUAUGUCUUAAUUGAUCAAGAACGAAAGUUAGAGGUUCGAAGGCGAUCAGAUACCGCCCU
rnacentral:rRNA from 1 species